UGGAUCAAUGUUGACUUCUGGUAAAAUAUGAGUUAGUGUGUUGAAUGCAUUUAUGCAUUCUGAGGUCCAU
rfam:Mesocricetus auratus contig038439, whole genome shotgun sequence.